CUUUGAAACCCUCAAACCCUGAUAGCCAUAAAAAAACUUAGGGCACAUACCCACAUUGGCAACCCACCACCAUUGCCACGGAAGGCGACUCCCCUCCCAAUGCCUUUACCUUCUGCACCGCUAUCUUCCUCUCUCCCAUCCUCCAUUCAUCAUGUCCUUUCUUCAAUUCCUUUUUCUAGUCCUCCAUUCAUCACGUCAUCUCUUUGAUUACCAAAGAAAUUGCAAGAUCUUGGUGGGGCUGCUUCCAACGAGCUCGAUCUCACCAAGGCUACACAAUUGUAUCGUGAGAACACCGAAAAGAGGUUGCAAAGGAAGCUUGUUUGCUAAAAGAAGAGAAACCAUUGUGUUAAAGAAGACGAAGUCAAAAACCAUGAAGAUUACAUAGUGAACUCAUUAGGAGGUUGAACUAUGCUUUUAAAGAUUAUGGUUUAUUUUAGUAGUCUUGGUACCAAUGUUUGUUCUUAUGUUAGAAUUAGAAAUUCUUAUUGAAAUAUUUUGAUAUAAUUAACAAGUUUAUGUGUAAUUAAUAUAUAUAGGUGGUUACAUUACUUGUUUAAACUAGGUUCAAGUAUAUCAAUAUUUGGAUAUAUUUUAAUUAA